GUGCUUGCUUCAACAGCACAUAUACUAAAAUUGGAACAAUACAGAGAAGAUUAGCAUGGUCCCCGCACAAGAAUGACACCCAAAUUCGUGAAGCAUUCUUUAUUUUU
rnacentral:snRNA from 1 species